GACGGAGGAUGCAAGCGUUAUCCGGAAUGAUUGGGCGUAAAGCGUCCGCAGGUGGCAGUUCAAGUCUGCUGUCAAAGACCGGGGCUUAACUUCGAAAAGGCAGUGGAAACUGAACAGCUAGAGUAUGGUAGGGGCAGAGGGAAUUCCUGGUGUAGCGGUGAAAUGCGUAGAUAUCAGGAAGAACAUCGGUGGCGAAGGCGCUCUGCUGGACCAUAACUGACACUCAGGGACGAAAGCUAGGGGAGCGAAUGGG
rnacentral:rRNA from 1 species